UUCGGCGUGCUUAACACAUGCAAGUCGAACGGAAAGGCCCUGCUUUUGUGGGGUGCUCGAGUGGCGAACGGGUGAGUAACACGUGAGUAACCUGCCCUUGACUUUGGGAUAACUUCAGGAAACUGGGGCUAAUACCGGAUAGGAGCUCCUGCUGCAUGGUGGGGGUUGGAAAGUUUCGGCGGUUGGGGAUGGACUCGCGGCUUAUCAGCUUGUUGGUGGGGUAGUGGCUUACCAAGGCUUUGACGGGUAGCCGGCCUGAGAGGGUGACCGGCCACAUUGGGACUGAGAUACGGCCCAGACUCCUACGGGAGGCAGUAGUGGGGGAUAUUGCACAAUGGGCGGAAGCCUGAUGCAGCAACGCCGCGUGCGGGAUGACGGCCUUCGGGUUGUAAACCGCUUUCGCCUGUGACGAAGCGUGAGUGACGGUAAUGGGUAAAGAAGCACCGGCUAACUACGUGCCAGCAGCCGCGGUGAUACGUAGGGUGCGAGCGUUGUCCGGAUUUAUUGGGCAUAAAGGGCUCGUAGGUGGUUGAUCGCGUCGGAAGUGUAAUCUUGGGGCUUAACCCUGAGCGUGCUUUCGAUACGGGUUGACUUGAGGAAGGUAGGGGAGAAUGGAAUUCCUGGUGGAGCGGUGGAAUGCGCAGAUAUCAGGAGGAACACCAGUGGCGAAGGCGGUUCUCUGGGCCUUUCCUGACGCUGAGGAGCGAAAGCGUGGGGAGCGAACAGGCUUAGAUACCCUGGUAGUCCACGCUGUAAACGGUGGGUACUAGGUGUGGGGUCCAUUCCACGGGUUCCGUGCCGUAGCUAACGCUUUAAGUACCCCGCCUGGGGAGUACGGCCGCAAGGCUAAAACUCAAAGGAAUUGACGGGGCCCCGCACAAGCGGCGGAGCAUGCGGAUUAAUUCGAUGCAACGCGUAGAACCUUACCUGGGUUUGACAUGGAUCGGGAGUGCUCAGAGAUGGGUGUGCCUCUUUUGGGGUCGGUUCACAGGUGGUGCAUGGCUGUCGUCAGCUCGUGUCGUGAGAUGUUGGGUUAAGUCCCGCAACGAGCGCAACCCUUGUUCACUGUUGCCAGCACGUUAUGGUGGGGACUCAGUGGAGACCGCCGGGGUCAACUCGGAGGAAGGUGGGGAUGACGUCAAGUCAUCAUGCCCCUUAUGUCCAGGGCUUCACGCAUGCUACAAUGGCUGGUACAGAGAGUGGCGAGCCUGUGAGGGUGAGCGAAUCUCGGAAAGCCGGUCUCAGUUCGGAUUGGGGUCUGCAACUCGACCUCAUGAAGUCGGAGUCGCUAGUAAUCGCAGAUCAGCAACGCUGCGGUGAAUACGUUCCCGGGGCUUGUACACACCGCCCGUCAAGUCAUGAAAGUUGGUAACACCCGAAGCCGGUGGCCUAACCGUUGUGGGGGAGCCGUCGAAGGUGGGACUGGUGAUUAGGACU
rnacentral:rRNA from 1 species